GACGAACGCUGGCGGCGUGCUUAACACAUGCAAGUCGAACGGUAAGGCCCCAGCGUGCGGGGGUACACUAGUGGCGAACUGGUGAGUAACACGUGGGUGACCUGCCGUGCACGUCGGGAUAAGCCGGUGAAACUGGGUCUAAUACCGGAUAGGACUAUGAUGUGGUGACUGGGGUGGAAAGGGUUUUCGGUGUGGGAUGGGCUCGCGGCCUAUCAGCUUGUUGGGGGGGUAAUGGCGUAGCAGGGCGGCGACGGGUAGCCGGCCUGCGAGGGUGGACGGCCAGAUUGCGACUGGGACACGGCCCAGACUCCUACGGGAGGAAGCAGGGGGGAAUAUUGCACCGUGGGCGGCAGCCUCGUGCGGCGACGCCGCGCCGCGGAUGAUGGCCAUACCGUUGUAAGCUUAUUUCACAUUGGACGAGCGGCUCCUGACGGUAGAGGGAGAAGAAGCACCGGCUAAGUACGUG
rnacentral:rRNA from 1 species